CCAGGCAGGAGUACUGGAGUGGGGUGCCAUUGCCUUCUCCACUGGAAUACAUUAUUUAAGCAUUUGAGAGUUCUAGGCAAGUGUUGGCUUUAUAUACAAUGUAUUUCCGUCUAUGUACAUAAGAUGUGUGUGAGUGCUUAGUGGCUCAGUCAUGUCCAACUCUUUGUGACCCCGUGGACUGUAGCCUGCCAGACUCCUCUGACCAUGGAAUUUUGCAGGCAAGGAUGCUGGAGGGGGUUGCCAUUUUCUACUCCGUUAAUAUGUACCUAUCUGCUUUUAUAUGCCAAGAAUAUCAUUGGGAGGAGACAUCAACAAACUGGGGUGGAGGGGGAACAGACAGGAAUUUUGCAGUGAGAGGGAAGACAGAUUUUUCACACUUUUGGGCUGUCUGAAUUUUAAAAAACAAUUUUCUUUUGAUUAUCAUUAAUAUGGUUAAAAACUCAUUAAAAAAUCCUUUUUAAGAAGGGUGGAAGUGUGUGUGUGUGCGCGUGUGUGCGUGUGCAGGGGAGGUUGGUGCAAUCUGGGGAAGGGUGGAGUGAGGUCUCAGAAAGGACAGAGAACCAAGAAAGGGAGAGGAGGGGCCGGAUUUAAGAAACUUUGUAACAGAGUCAACAGGAUGUUGCUGAAUGGGCGGGGCUGAGAUGACUGAGGUUUGCAGUCUGAAGAUGCUAUAACCUAGAUAUGAGAUGCUGUCUGCUAGAUGUCAAACCUACUCUCCUCUUCACCCCCAGUGAAUAGCCCUACUUCCUGCAAACGUGGUGAUGGCUAUUGCAGUGGGGCCUCAGGGCUAUACCCCUUACUGGGAAGAGGGGCAGCUUGCAUGGUGAGUUCUAAGGCAGAGAAAGGAGACAGAAGCCUUCAUUCCCCUUCAACAGGAAAUGCCCAGCUGAUGGUGUUGUGGCUCACACAGUCCUCCCACAGUCUGUCCCCCAGUCUAACUGUUGCUGAGAGACAUGCACAGUGGUAGCCGGGCAGUGGAGGGGCAAAAAUCAGAGAUGGAGGGAACCAGGGACAUUCAAGAGAUUGUGAAGUGUGAAAGCGAAAGUCACUCAGUCGUGUCUGACUCUUUGCGACCCCAUGGACUGUAGCCCAUCAGCCUCCUGUCCAUGGGAUUCUCUAGGUAAGAAUACUGGAAUGGGUUGCCAUUCCCUUCUAUAGGGGUUCUUUCUGACCCCGGGAUCAAACCUGGGUCUCCCGCAUUGCAAGCAGAUUCUUUACUGUCUGAGCCACCAGGGAAGCCCCCACCCAGUUCAAGAGACAGGUUAAAUGUUUGUGUAAUGGCUGACUAAUAACAGGGUUGUUGAGGCACAGUUGCACAACUGGGAUUUUUUUUUUCUCCAGCCACGCUCAGCUUUCCAGGUAGGUCUGGAUCCUGAAGAAGGCUCUUCUGACCAGUUUUUCUUCGAUACCUAUCUCCCAUCCUCCAGGGCCAGCCUCUUGUGCGCCAAUCUCCUGGUUCUGCGCAGACUCACUGGAGCUUUUGGGCAGUCCGUCACCCACGCUGACUGUGAGGGCCUUGCCGCUAGCCUUGAGCACCGCCACGUCGCCGGAACCACGCGAGAAAGUGACGCUUCGGGUACCACCUCCGCCCCAGCCCUCCUUCUUCACCCGGAACUGUAGUCUGUGAGGAGAGGAGGAAGCUGUGGUUGUCCCCACCCGCCAAGCAGGGGUCACCUCCUCAUCCCAUCCUUGCGGACCCGGGCUGAGAUGGGAGGGGACAAGGCAAGGGCGCAUUUCGGUCAGUCUGUGAAGCGGGGGAGGGGGCGCU